GACGAACGCUGGCGGCGUGCUUAACACGUGCAAGUCGAACGGUGAAAGCGGAGCUUGCUCCGCCGGAUCAGUGGCGAACGGGUGAGUAACACGUGGGCAACCUGCCCCUCACUUCGGGAUAACUCCGGGAAACCGGGGCUAAUACCGGCUAUGACCUCCUUGGGACUCCUUGGAGGUGGAAAGUUUUUCGGUGAGGGAUGGGCCCGCGGCCUAUCAGCUUGUUGGUGUGGUAGUGGCUCACCAAGGCGACGACGGGUAGCCGGCCUGAGAGGGCGACCGGCCACACUGGGACUGAGACACGGCCCAGACUCCUACGGGAGGCAGAAGUGGGGAAUAUUGCGCAAUGGGCGAAAGCCUGACGCAGCAACGCCGCGUGCGGGAUGACGGCCUUCGGGUUGUAAACCGCUUUCAGCAGGGAAGAAGCCGCAAGGUGACGGUGCCUGCAGAAGAAGCACCGGCUAACUACGUGCCAGCCGCCGCCGUAA
rnacentral:rRNA from 1 species